rnacentral:rRNA from 1 species
GACGUAGGUGGCGAACGUUAUCCGGAAUUAUUGGGCGUAAAGGGUGUGUAGGCGGCGGGGUAAGUCUGGUGUGAAAUCUCGGAGCUCAACUCCGAAACUGCACUGGAUACUGCCUUGCUCGAGUACUGGAGAGGAGAUUGGAAUUUACGGUGUAGCAGUGAAAUGCGUAGAUAUCGUAAGGAAGACCAGUGGCGAAGGCGAAUCUCUGGACAGUUACUGACACUGAGGCACGAAGGCCAGGGGAGCAAACGGG